UACGAAGGGGGCUAGCGUUGUUCGGAAUUACUGAGCGUAAAGCGUGCGCAGGCGGCUUCUCAAGUCAGGGGUGAAAGCCCAGAGCUCAACUCUGGAAUUGCCUUUGAGACUGAGUGGCUUGAGUACGAGAGAGGUGAGUGGAAUUCCCAGUGUAGAGGUGAAAUUCGUAGAUAUUGGGAAGAACACCAGUGGCGAAGGCGGCUACCUGGCAUGAUACUGACACUGAGGCGCGAGAGCGUGGGGAGCAAACAGG
rnacentral:rRNA from 1 species